CAUAUAAUUUGAAAGUAUACCUACUAAAGUUAAGUAAUCAGGAAUAAAACUCGUCUGCAAGCAAUUUUCUGAAAAGUUAUGAAUCUCCGAAUUGGGUCUAUUUUUAGCUGUUUGUUUACAUUCGCGUGUUCGCUGAUCAGCGACACUAGUAAUAAUUAAAAAGUUAAAUAAGCUGGUUUAUUAUCCAGCUUCUAAUUCACAACAUAAAAACAUUAAAAAUACAACCUUAACCAUUCCGAUCUUGGCUUAUUCGCAUAAAUAAUUUCACAACUGUUAAAUAUCUUUUUAAGGUAUAAUCGGGCAGUACUUUCUGUGGUUGUAGCAAAUUUCAAAGCUGUCAGUAUCUCUGGCUGUACAUAAAAAGUGUUCGGUGCUUUAACUUUUUUAUUCAACUUGUCUUGUAAUCUUUUUCUGUCCCUGUAAAUGGAAAUUUUGCCGGAAAGGUCGGAUCGGACAUUAAUUCUUGCAGCAUGGAUGCAACAUAUUUUUGUACAUAAUUGCAGUCAAAAUAC